rfam:Aspergillus nomius NRRL 13137 contig00067, whole genome shotgun sequence.
GGUCCCAUAGCUCAGUCGGUUAGAGCGCUGUGCUAAUAACGCAGAUGUCGAGAGUUCGAGCCUCUCUGGGAUCA